AGCUGGUUGGCUCAGUGGUUAGAGCGUAGUGCUCAUAACACUAAGGUCUUGGGUUCAAUUCCCACAUGGGUCA